rnacentral:tRNA from 1 species
GCCUCAAUGGUCUAAUGGCUAUGACACUAGCCUGUCGCGCUGGUGAUCCGGGUUCGAUCCCCGGUUGGGGCG